UGCAGUCGACGACUCUGGUAUUGAUUGGUGCUUGCAUCAUGAUUUACAUUUGAGUGAGUGGCGAACUGGUGAGUAACACGUGGGAAACCUGCCCAGAAGCGGGGGAUAACACCUGGAAACAGAUGCUAAUACCGCAUAACAACUUGGACCGCAUGGUCCGAGUUUGAAAGAUGGCUUCGGCUAUCACUUUUGGAUGGUCCCGCGGCGUAUUAGCUAGAUGGUGGGGUAACGGCUCACCAUGGCAAUGAUACGUAGCCGACCUGAGAGGGUAAUCGGCCACAUUGGGACUGAGACACGGCCCAAACUCCUACGGGAGGCAGCAGUAGGGAAUCUUCCACAAUGGACGAAAGUCUGAUGGAGCAACGCCGCGUGAGUGAAGAAGGGUUUCGGCUCGUAAAACUCUGUUGUUAAAGAAGAACAUAUCUGAGAGUAACUGUUCAGGUAUUGACGGUAUUUAACCAGAAAGCCACGGCUAACUACGUGCCAGCAGCCGCGGUAAUACGUAGGUGGCAAGCGUUGUCCGGAUUUAUUGGGCGUAAAGCGAGCGCAGGCGGUUUUUUAAGUCUGAUGUGAAAGCCUUCGGCUCAACCGAAGAAGUGCAUCGGAAACUGGGAAACUUGAGUGCAGAAGAGGACAGUGGAACUCCAUGUGUAGCGGUGAAAUGCGUAGAUAUAUGGAAGAACACCAGUGGCGAACGCGGCUGUCUGGUCUGUAACUGACGCUGAGGCUCGAAAGUAUGGGUAGCAACAGGAUUAGAUACCCUGGGUAGUCCAUACCGUAACGAUGAUGCUAGUGUUGGAGGGUUUCCGCCCUUCAGUGCUGCAGCUACGCAUUAGCAU
rnacentral:rRNA from 2 species